UGGAGAGCUUUGCUCUGUUAUCCUCAGGCAGUGUGUUUGAGAUGUGCAGAACAGAAGGGGACAGAUGGGCCCAGUGAAAGUCUCCAUUGAGAGAGCCUGUCCUCAGGCUCCAGCCCAGCUGUCAGAGAGCACUGAGACAGAGGGAAAGGAGUCACACGGAUUGCUUUCCUUCAGUUCAUUUAGAGAAAUCACUCUCGGAUGAAUACAGGGAUGCAAACACUCCCUACACCUUGAAAAGCAGCAGGAACCAGGUUUUGUGCGCAGAGGGCCCUUGUCAGGCUUUGACUGACGGUGUCACAUUAAGCAUGGGGAGACACGGACGCUCGGGGAGGGGAGGAAGAGGGGUGGGCGCUCUUUGGCGCAGUAGGUAGAAACUACCGUAAUUAUAGAGCACAGACACACUGAGGAGGAGAAAAAGAGGCCGAACACGCAGCUCACAUUAAAAAAGAAAAGCGCAAAAAUAAAAGCAAGUGUGUUUUCAUGCUGAAAGAAAAGAAAAAGGGGAAAUAAGUGGAGAGAGAGGAAAGUAGGGGUUUGUAAUGGGAGGAAAGAGCUUAAACCGAACCAGAAUUGUCUGUUUUCAGUGGACGCAUGCAACUCUUUGUAUGAGCUGCGUGCGGAUGUGCGUGUGUUGAUGUGUUUCACUUCAAAUUUCAAUACCUUACUUUUUGUAUAGUGAAUAUUUCACUUGUGUUUCUGGCCC